rnacentral:rRNA from 1 species
AUUGAACGCUGGCGGCAGGCCUAACACAUGCAAGUCGAACGGUAACAGGAAGAAGCUUGCUUCUUUGCUGACGAGUGGCGGACGGGUGAGUAAUGUCUGGGAAACUGCCUGAUGGAGGGGGAUAACUACUGGAAACGGUAGCUAAUACCGCAUAACGUCGCAAGACCAAAGAGGGGGACCUUCGGGCCUCUUGCCAUCGGAUGUGCCCAGAUGGGAUUAGCUAGUAGGUGGGGUAACGGCUCACCUAGGCGACGAUCCCUAGCUGGUCUGAGAGGAUGACCAGCCACCCUGGAACUGAGACACGGUCCAGACUCCUACGGGAGGCAGCAGUGGGGAAUAUUGCACAAAGGGCGCAAGCCUGAUGCAGCCAUGCCGCGUGUAUGAAGAAGGCCUUCGGGUUGUAAAGUACUUUCAGCGGGGAGGAAGGGAGUAAAGUUAAUACCUUUACUCAUUGACGUUACCCGCAGAAGAAGCACCGGCUAACUCCGUG